CUGUUGGAGAGUUUGAUGGUGGCUCAGGGCGAACGCUGGCGGCGUGGAUAAGGCAUGCAAGUCGAGCGCAGGCUUGCCUGCGGGUUCUGCUCGCAGGCAGGUGCUGAGCGGCGAACGGGCGAGUAACGCGUGCCUAACCUACCCUGGGGACCGGGAUAACCCUGGGAAACUGGGGCUAAUACCGGAUACGCUCCCUCGUCGCAUGGCGGGGGAGGAAAGGUGCCUGUUCCGAAAGGGCAGGUGCCGCCCUGGGAUGGGGGCGCGUCCCAUCAGGUAGUUGGUGGGGUAACGGCCCACCAAGCCUAUGACGGGUAGCCGGCCUGAGAGGGUGGCCGGCCGCACCGGGACUGAGACACGGCCCGGACCCCUACGGGGGGCAGCAGCCGAGGAUCUUGGGCAAUGCCCGAAAGGGUGACCCAGUGACGCCGCGUGGGGGAGGAAGCCCUUCGGGGUGUAAACCCCUGUCGGGAGGGGAAGAAGCCGGUCCUUCGGGACCGGUUGACGGUACCCUCCAAGGAAGCCCCGGCUAACUCCGUGCCAGCAGCCGCGGUAAAACGGAGGGGGCGAGCGUUGCCCGGAUUUACUGGGCUUAAAGGGUCCGUAGGCGGUGUCCCAAGUCCCCCGUGAAAGCUGCCCGCUCAACGGGCAGAGGUCGGGGGAGACUGGGACACUUGAGGGCGGGAGAGGCCAGCGGAACGGCGGGUGUAGCGGUGAAAUGCGUCGAUAUCCGCCGGAACACCAGUGGCGAAGGCGGCUGGCUGGAACGCCCCUGACGCUGAGGGACGAAGGCCGGGGGAGCGAACCGGAUUAGAUACCCGGGUAGUCCCGGCAGUAAACGGUGGGCGCUAGGUGUGGGGAGUCUCGACCCUCCCCGUGCCGCAGGGAAACCAAUAAGCGCCCCGCCUGGGGAGUACGGGCGCAAGCCUGAAACUCAAACCAAUUGACGGGGGCCCGCACAAGCGGCGGAGCAUGUGGCUUAAUUCGAUGCUACCCGAAGAACCUUACCAGGGCUUGACAUGCUGGCUUAAGCCUGCCCGAAAGGGCGGGGUGGGGCGGUUUCCGCCGCCCAGCCAGCACAGGUGGUGCACGGCUGUCGUCAGCUCGUGCCGUGAGGUGUCCGGUUAAGUCCGGCAACGAGCGCAACCCCCGCCGCCAGUUGCCAGCGGGUAAUGCCGGGCACUCUGGCGGGACGGCCCGCGUACGCGGGGGGGAGGGGGGGAGGACGUCGCGCACGCGGGCCCC
rnacentral:rRNA from 1 species